CCGCGGGGCACGCUCAUUGGUACGGAGCGCGCGACCCAACUCCGGGAGAGUCUGCCCGAGCACCCAGUGUCCAAACUCCGGCGGGCCGGAGCUGCUGGGCCGGCGCAGCUGGGGUUCCCGGCUCCGCGCUUCGGCCGGCAGAGUGAGUCUGCCGAGUUCCGCGGACGGAACCGGGAGGAUAUGAGACCUGCCCUUGAAGCCCGUUCGCGUUUCCCUAAUGAAUAGAGGGCAAAACAGCUGGAGAAGCAGCCUUAUUGCUCAAAAGGAAGUGUUGAUACAUCUUGGAGCUUUGAGCGUGGGAGAUGACGGGCCCAGCUUUAUGCCACUUAAAGUGGUAACAUGGUUGAUGGGUAGACCCUGUACGGCAAGAUGGUAUUGUUACUGAAACGGCCAUGGGCUGGAUAUGUGUGAGAAGAUAAGCCCACUUACCAGGUUCUAAGGCAAAGUCCAAAGUGGCUUGACUAAGAUGAGACGGAAAGAGCAGAAAGAGAACAGACCAAGGAGACUUCGAUCAGCUCAUUCUUUAAGGGAAGUUUCAGCAAAUGUUCACCAAGAUUAGCCAAUGGGAUUGAGAGGAGAAGACCCUCAAGUAAGUAGUGUGGAAACAGCAGUCAAACUGUGCUCUUGGAAUUUCUUUUUUACUGGUUCAAAUGUAACCCGCACAGCAGUGGGUAGGAAAUAGCCCUAAACUGCUACUCCCACCAGGAUUCCCCAGAAAGGAUGUUUAACUCCCAGAGUUAAACCUUAAGGCCUGUGUUUCUACGCUGGGGUGAAAAGGCCAAUUUCAGCUCACACCCCAAGAUGGAAGUCACUUUUUCUGCUCAAGAGAACGUAGUUCAAGGUUUCCCUCCUAUUACCACAGAACAAACAGAAAAUAGAACUGCCCAACUAGAGGGAAAAGAGAUUUUAUUGAAGAAAAAGGAAGUAAAUAAAUAAAAAUUCCCAUGUAAUAUGUAACCGAUGUCAGAUUUCUUUGCAGUGCUUAAUUUUAUACUUAAAGGGAGUUUGGGGCAGUCAUGUAAAAAGAAUGAUAACUUCCUGGUGGGAAAAAAAAAAGGACUGAAAGUCUAAAUGCAAGAUCCCAAAUAUCCUUGUGCUGGGGAGGUGUCACUACAACAAAAAGAUGUGUUUUGAUUCUACUGAAACACUGAUCACGGUAAGUUUUUACUCAUAAGACAUGGCUAGCAGCAGAGGGAAAACUAGCUCUCAUUUUUAUUCUAUGGAAAGCCUCGACUCUCUCACUGUCUAUCUCGUCCCCUUUCUCUUAUACUUUGCUCUCUCCCUCAGCUUUUUUUUUUUCUGUUUUCUCUUUCUCUUCUGUUUCCCUUCGUAUCACUUCUGUCCACUCCCACUUCUGUAAUCUUCUAGAAGUAUAAUGAUUUUUGUAGUGUUUUUCUGUAAGUCAUUGGGGCUCAGUCUAUUUAAGGGCCAUAUAUGGAAGGAAAUGUACACGUAAGGACGUAAAAUGAAAAAUAAGUCUUGUCUUCAUUGUGUGCAGAAGAAGAAACAUUUCAAAAUGACAUACUAAAAUUCCCACUCUGCCGUUCGUGGAUAUAUUGCCACAAGGCACCCUCUUCUUGACCUUCCCUAACCAACAAGCCAAGCUUGUUUCCGUAAAUUACCUGAUUGCUUGUUCAGCCAAAGCCAUGUUUGGCCACGGGGCUGCUCCCUCCUCCUAUGUCUUCCAUCCACACUACCUACCCCAGUCCCAAAUUUUCACAGCCUUGGACAAACCUUAGGACAGUCCUAUCCCUUCCAACUAAUAGCGGCCUAAUUCAUGAAGCUGAGUCAGCAGAUUUCAAGGGGCACUGCCAAGCCUAGCAGAUGACAUGCACAAAAACAGCAGAGAUUUUCCAAAUAAAGCAAAAGAGGAUUGUUAGACUGCCCCACAGCACAGGUGUCCCAAGUAUACCUUGCCCUCCUGGGCCUGUUCGUCUUAGAUUGAGUCCCUGCCCUUCCCCCACCCACUCUGCUCUGUUUCCCAGAUCAGUUGGCUUCUGGCUGGGUUCAGCCAAUGGGAGACACUGACUGGAGGAAGGACGAAGCCAGUGUGUCUCUCCUCUUUCCUUCCUGCUCUGGACUAUUUUCCCCCUACUUUUCUGCUUUAGACAGGACUCUGAGUUGACAAUCUGUUCCUCGGUUGUUUUUUCAGCCUCUUCCAUCUCCAGGGAAACCAGUUCCCUGAACUCCCUCUGUUUUCUGGGCAUAUACCCAGAGAAAACCAUAACUCAAAAAGACACACCC